CGGGGGGGGCAAGCGUUGUUCGGAAUUACUGGGCGUAAAGGGCGCGUAGGCGGUCUGCUAAGUUGGAUGUGAAAACUCUGGGCUUAACCCAGAGCCUGCAUUCAAUACUGACAGGCUAGAGUUCUGGAGGGGAUAGCGGAAUUCCUGGUGUAGCGGUGAAAUGCGUAGAUAUCAGGAGGAACACCGGUGGCGAAGGCGGCUAUCUGGACAGAAACUGACGCUGAGGCGCGAAAGCUAGGGGAGCAAACAGGAUUAGAUACCCUGGUAGUCCUAGCCCUAAACGAUGGAUACUUGGUGUGACUGGGAUUGAAUCCAGUCGUGCCGAAGCUAACGCAUUAAGUAUCCCGCCUGGGGAGUACGGUCGCAAGGCUG
rnacentral:rRNA from 1 species